UGGGGAUUAGCUCAGUCGGUAGAGCAUGCGGCUGUUAACCGCAGUGUCGUUGGUUCAAAUCCAACAUUCCCAG
rnacentral:tRNA from 5 species